UUUAUAUUACCUCCGUCGCAAAUUACUAGUUUUAGAUUUGUCUAGACAUGGAUGUAUCUAGACAUGUUUUAGUGUUAGAUACAUCUAAAACAAGUAAUUCCGGACAGAGGGAGUACUAU
rnacentral:pre_miRNA from 1 species